rnacentral:tRNA from 1 species
GUCCAGGGUAGCCUAGUGGACAUGGUAUCUGCCUGGUAGGCGGAACACUGUGGGUUCGAUUCCCAUCCCCGGACA